rnacentral:lncRNA from 1 species
ACCGCAAAAAUUAAAAAAUUAUUAAAACAGAAUAAUUGUUUGGUUUCAAAAGGCAAAAUGUAGUGUUUGUAGAUCUAGCAUGCCAGUGAAGUUGUAGAAGUUUUAGAAUAAUUGUUUGAGUAAACUUAAAUUAAGGCACGCUUUUUAGCUCUUUUAUAUUACUUAAAUUAUUAACCGGUUUAACCAAAACUUCUUUGCGCUUUUAUAUAAUAAUAAACAAACACUGUUUUUUUUGUUUGUUAAAUCGGGCACACCCUGUAUAUUACUAACGUAAGCUAUAUUUUAGGGCCUCAUCUUUUUGAGCAGUAACUGAUUAUACAGCAAUAAACAAUUGGUGACGACUUUAAUUUCUUUACAAUCGUAUUUUCAUUACCUUGUGCGGUCCGUGGAAGAAAAAAACCUAGUUUAACUAGAAAUAACACAAAAGAAUAGGAACUUUCUUCUUCUGUUUGGAUAAGGAAGGAAAGGAAGUCUGAAUAAUUUGUCUAUGACAAAAUAUUCCUUAGAAGUCACUACCAUAAGAAUACUUUGGACAUUUGAACUUCACUUAUCUAUAAAGAAAGUCUUAGUGCUUCGAAAUAUUCACCAAUGGCAUUUUCUCUCAGUGUUUUGGCUUGUUGAAUAAGGAAUCAUGGCUUAGAAAGUGGAUACUGCAAUGCUGUUAUUCCGUAAUUGUUCUUUCCAAAUUAUCAACACAUUGGAAAGGUAGAGAAAAAAUUUUCAUCUAUGGGCUUCCGGCUGGUUCAUUUUCAUAUAAUCUAUGUCCUCGUCUUGUCAUCGCUCCUCGAGAAAACAGCAUCCCCUAUUUUUGCUGUCCGUAAAUGGAAACAACGCAUAAAGGCUUGCCUUGAGAUAACAUCCUUGGAUUAGAUGGACAAACUACUUACAGAUGACUUACAAAAUAUAUUAGAUAAACAUGAACAUCAAAACGUGAAGAACAAAGCUCCACUCACCCUUCUUUCUUUUGGACUUGGAAAGGGGUCAUUUCUGGAAAG